ACCCUAUCAAUAUUGCCUCUGCUUCUUCACUCGGUCUUAGUAGUGCAAUAUUGCUAAUAGGGUCU
rnacentral:pre_miRNA from 1 species